CCGAGUUUACGACUCCCAAACCCAAUGUGAACGUUACCAAACUGUUGCCUCGGCGGGGUCACGCCCCGGGUGCGUAAAAGCCCCGGAACCAGGCGCCCGCCGGAGGAACCAACCAAACUCUUUCUGUAGUCCCCUCGCGGACGUAUUUCUUACAGCUCUGAGCAAAAAUUCAAAAUGAAUCA
rnacentral:misc_RNA from 1 species